rnacentral:ncRNA from 1 species
AGGUGUCGUAAGACUUAAUAGAGAAAUCGGUAUAAGCCGAUGCGGUCCCGCCACUGUAAGGACGAGCCUGCUUUCAUAAUGUCACUGGAGUAAUCUGGGAAGGCGAAAGCGAGAGGCUAUGACCCCAAGCCAGGAGAACUGCCUAUUUGA